AGCGAACGCUGGCGGCAGGCCUAACACAUGCAAGUCGAACGAAGUCUUCGGACUUAGUGGCGGACGGGUGAGUAACACGUGGGAACGUGCCUUUAGGUUCGGAAUAACUCAGGGAAACUUGUGCUAAUACCGAAUGUGCCCUUCGGGGGAAAGAUUUAUCGCCUUUAGAGCGGCCCGCGUCUGAUUAGCUAGUUGGUGAGGUAAAGGCUCACCAAGGCGACGAUCAGUAGCUGGUCUGAGAGGAUGAUCAGCCACAUUGGGACUGAGACACGGCCCAAACUCCUACGGGAGGCAGCAGUGGGGAAUCUUGCGCAAUGGGCGAAAGCCUGACGCAGCCAUGCCGCGUGAAUGAUGAAGGUCUUAGGAUUGUAAAAUUCUUUCACCGGGGACGAUAAUGACGGUACCCGGGGAAGAAGCCCCGGCUAACUUCGUGCCAGCCGCCGCUGUAAUAC
rnacentral:rRNA from 1 species